CGGGGGGGCAAGCGUUGUUCGGAAUUACUGGGCGUAAAGGGCUCGUAGGCGGCCAACUAAGUCCGACGUGAAAUCCCCAGGCUUAACCUGGGAACUGCGUCGGAUACUGGAUGGCUUGAAUUCGGGAGAGGGAUGCAGAAUUCCAGGUGUAGCGGUGAAAUGCGUAGAUAUCUGGAGGAAUACCGGUGGCGAAGGCGGCAUCCUGGACCGACAUUGACGCUGAUGAGCGAAAGCUAGGGGAGCAAACGGGAUUAGAUACCCCGGUAGUCCUAGCCCUAAACGAUGAAUGCUUGGUGUGGCGGGUAUCGAUCCCUGCCGUGCCGAAGCUAACGCAUUAAGCAUUCCGCCUGGGGAGUACGGUCGCAAGGCUG
rnacentral:rRNA from 1 species